GACGAACGCUGGCGGCGUGCUUAACACAUGCAAGUCGAACGGAAAGGCCCUGCUUUUGUGGGGUGCUCGAGUGGCGAACGGGUGUGUAACACGUGAGUAACCUGCCCUUGACUUUGGGAUAACUUCAGGAAACUGGGGCUAAUACCGGAUAGGAGCUCCUGCUGCAUGGUGGGGGUUGGAAAGUUUCGGCGGUUGGGGAUGGACUCGCGGCUUAUCAGCUUGUUGGUGGGGUAGUGGCUUACCAAGGCUUUGACGGGUAGACGGCCUGAGUGGGUGACCGGCAACAUUGGGACUGAGAUACGGCCCAGACUCCUACGGGGGGCAGCAGUGGGGAAUAUUGCACAAUGGGCGGAAGCCUGAUGCAGCAACGCCGCGUGCGGGAUGACGGCCUUCGGGUUGUAAACCGCUUUCGCCUGUGACGAAGCGUGAGUGACGGUAAUGGGUAAAGAAGCACCGGCUAACUACGUG
rnacentral:rRNA from 1 species